rnacentral:rRNA from 1 species
ACGAACGCUGGCGGCAUGCCUAACCCAUGCACGUCGAACGAGAUCCUUCGGGGUCUAGUGGCGCACGGGUGCGUAACGCGUGGGAAUCUGCCCUUAGGUUCGGAAUAACAGUUAGAAAUGACUGCUAAUACCGGAUGAUGACGUUAAGUCCAAAGAUUUAUCGCCUGAGGAUGAGCCCGCGUAGGAUUAGCUAGUUGGUGUGGUAAAGGCGCACCAAGGCGACGAUCCUUAGCUGGUCUGAGAGGAUGAUCAGCCACACUGGGACUGAGACACGGCCCAGACUCCUACGGGAGGCAGCAGUGGGGAAUAUUGGACAAUGGGCGCAAGCCUGAUCCAGCAAUGCCGCGUGAGUGAUGAAGGCCUUAGGGUUGUAAAGCUCUUUUACCCGGGAUGAUAAUGACAGUACCGGGAGAAUAAGCCCCGGCUAACUCCGUG